CCAACGUGGGUAUCCUGUGAGGUUGCUCUCAUGGGCUCUGCCCAGGUGGCGUAUGGGAGCGUAGUGUCUUCGGGCGCUGUGACGUAUAUUCCCCUUCCACAACGUUGGAGAGCAAUGCGUGUCCCCGGGCCCUAUGGUCUGGUGUGGACAGCGUCCUGUAUAUUCCUACAACUUUCCAGUGCCUUUGGGUAGUGACUGGGGAGUAAAACCAUGCAGGAUACAGAA